GGCGCGGUGGCUUAGUGGUUAGCGUGUUCGCCUCACACCUCUAGGGUCUGGGGUUCGAGUCCUGCCCAGGCCG